CAGGGAAUCUUGCGCAAUGGGCGAAACCCUGACGCAGCAACGCCGCGUGGAGGACGAAGGUUUUCGGAUUGUAAACUCCUUAACUGGGGGAAGAGAGAGGACGGUACCCCAGGACGAAGACACGGCUAACUACGUG
rnacentral:rRNA from 1 species